CAGCCGCCGCGGUAAUACGAAGGGGGCUAGCGUUGCUCGGAAUUACUGGGCGUAAAGGGAGCGUAGGCGGAUCGUUAAGUUGGGGGUGAAAGCCCGGGGCUCAACCUCGGAAUUGCCUUCAAUACUGGCGAUCUUGAGUAUGGAAGAGGUAUGUGGAACUCCGAGUGUAGAGGUGAAAUUCGUAGAUAUUCGGAAGAACACCAGUGGCGAAGGCGACAUACUGGUCCAUCACUGACGCUGAGGCUCGAAAGCGUGGGGAGCAAACAGGAUUAGAGACCCGCGUAGUCCCUGUCUCUUAUAC
rnacentral:rRNA from 1 species